rnacentral:rRNA from 1 species
UACGUAGGGACCGAGCGUUGUCCGGAAUCAUUGGGCGUAAAGAGCGUGUAGGCGGCCACUUAAGUCCUGCGUGAAAUCUUGCGGCUCAACCGCAAGCGGUCGUGGGAAACUGGGUGGCUAGAGUGCGGGAGAGGAGAGUGGAAUUCCUGGUGUAGCGGUGGAAUGCGCAGAUAUCAGGAAGAACACCCGUGGCUAAGGCGGCUCUCUAGUGCGGUACUGACGCUGAGACGCGAAAGCGUGGGGAGCGAACAGG